rnacentral:rRNA from 1 species
ACACGUAGGGAGCAAGCGUUGUCCGGAUUUAUUGGGCGUAAAGAGCUCGUAGGCGGUUUCGUAAGUCGGAUGUGAAAACUCAAGGCUCAACCUUGAGACGCCAUUCGAUACUGCGAUGACUAGAGUCCGGUAGGGGAGCAUGGAAUUCCUGGUGUAGCGGUGAAAUGCGCAGAUAUCAGGAGGAACACCAGUGGCGAAGGCGGUGCUCUGGGCCGGAACUGACGCUGAGGAGCGAAAGCAUGGGUAGCAAACAGGAUUAGAAACCCCAGUAGUCC